rnacentral:rRNA from 1 species
AUUGAACGCUGGCGGCAGGCUUAACACAUGCAAGUCGAGCGAGCGGCGGACGGGUGAGUAAUGUCUGGGAAACUGCCUGAUGGAGGGGGAUAACUACUGGAAAAGGUAGCUAAUACCGCAUACCAUCAGAUGUGCCCAGAUGGGAUUAGCUAGUGGGUGGGGUAAUGGCUCACCUAGGCGACGAUCCCUAGCUGGUCUGAGAGGAUGACGGGCCACAUGGGAACGGAGACACGGCCCAGACUCCUACGGGAGGCAGCAGUGGGGAAGAUUGGACAAUGGGCGCAAGCCUGAUGCAGCCAGGCCGCGUGUGGGAAGAAGGCCUUGGGGUUGUAAAGCACGUUCAGCGAGGAGGCGUUACUCGCAGAAGAAGCACCGGCUAACUCCGUGCCAGCAGCCGCGGUAAUUC